AAAAGCUGAAGUGCAAGAAAAAAGCUGAAUUCUCUAGUGCUUUAGAAGAAGAUGUAUCGUCAUUCAGCCAGCUUGAAUCUGCCCCAGAAAACACUUCAGCCAAAUCAGUGGAGUUGACAGCACAAGUACUGCCAUCCAAACAGCCAGAUGCUCUGCAAAUGAGUUCCACCAUGCUGAUCGUGGAGAAUAACAAAGCCCUGCUAAAAAACCCUGGUUAUGCUCAGCCUGUAGAGCUAGAUCCUCCACGUAACAGAGAAGAAAUCUGCUCCAUUGUUAGAACUUCACCAGUUCACAGGUCUUCCAGGCUUCACCAAAUUCCGGUUAACAGAAGUGCGUUCUGCCUUCCCAAACGAGUGCCCGAAGAUACUAUUACAAGUACCAAAAAUUGGGUCUACAAUAAACAUAUAUGAGAUUUUUGGUUUUCAGCAAGAGUCAACAGAAGAAAAAGGGUCUUGCUUCUGUGGCAGGGAGGUGAAAUGAGAACAAUAAGAAGAAUUACUGGCUGAAUUUUUUUGGCUUAUACACUGUCUGAAACAGUAUAAUGCUGUGUAGUAAGCCUGUAAAUGCUUUUCUUGAGCACUUUAAUAUUAAAAUUUUUGUACAAGCAACUAGAUCUCUUUUUGGGCAUUGUUCUAUAAGUACUCCAUAAAGAUGAUUCUUUAGUUAGUUUAUUUUUUUUUUAAAUUGUGACUCAAGGGCAGCAGAAUAGAUUGUGUUGAUGGAAUUACUUUUGGCACUUGCUAUGCCAAGACUUCUAGAUUUCUUUAGUAGUAUAGGCAUUUAAAGAUGUGACCUCUACUUGAGUUAAGUGUUAACAUUGUUCAUAAAGGCAUAAAGUUUCAGGACUAUAUGUCCUGAAAAUGUAAAUGUAAAGCAUUUAUGUGCUCUCAGUGACUCAGAAGUCAGUACAGGAUAUUAAGCUACCAUUAAACUACUUGCAUGCUUAAGUCUGCAGAACUUGGGGAUACAAGACUUUGUGUAUUCUAAUGUAAAUUGAUUGAUAAUCUUGAAGAUAGGUGGUCUUUGCCCUACCAUCAUCCCAGUACAGCUGUCUACUUAUGAUCAGCACUAGCAUCAUAUACAGUGCCCAGUCACUGUCUUCCCAUUUCAUCUCGGUUAUUCUGUAAUCCCACCUAUCUCCACCCAGCUCACCUUCAGCCCAAGUGCGUUCAGUCACCCCCAGAAUCCCUGGUAUUGGGGUAUUUGUUUUGGUUAUCUGUAACUUCUUGUCAUUUCUUGCCUCCUGCUACCUUUAACUUUUUCUUAAAAAACAAAACAAAACAAAAAAACCCAUCAAGUAGAAUGCAUGUCUCACUACAGUAAUAUGAUAUAGCUCUUCAUGCUUUUGGCUUAAGUUUCUAUUAAGUUUACAACCUGCCACUGCACUUUGUAUGUCACAUAUCAAUGGUCCUAAUAAACUCUUUAUUUUCUAGUGCA
rnacentral:lncRNA from 1 species